rnacentral:rRNA from 1 species
AGGACGAACGCUGGCGGCGUGCCUAACACAUGCAAGUCGAACGGAGGUAGCAAUACCUCAGUGGCGAACGGGUGCGUAACACGUGAGAAAUCUGUCCAUCGGCGGGGGAUAGCCGGCCCAACGGCCGGGUAAUACCGCGUACGUCGGCGAGAGCGCAUGCUCAUGCCGGGAAAGCAGCAAUGCACCGAUGGAGGAUCUCGCGGCCUAUCAGUCUUGGUUGGUGAGGUAACGGCUACGACCAAGGCGACGACGGGUAGCUGGUCUGAGAGGAUGGAUCAGCCACGAGUUGGGACUGAGACCGACGGCCCAGACCGUCGUACGGGAGCAGUCGAGGUGGGAAUUAGUUG